UCCCUGGUGGUCCAGUGAUUAGGACUCUGAGCUUCCAAGGCAGAGGGCACAGGUUCAAUCCCUGGUCGGGGAA
rnacentral:tRNA from 1 species